CUUAAGUAUGUGCUGCUUGCUGUAAAUAUGGACAUACAACAAUUAUGUGUUGGCUUUUAGGUGGGCGUUUCAUGAGCCAAAAACACCCACAAAGGACCUACAUACAUUA